rnacentral:rRNA from 1 species
CAGUCGCCGCGGGAAUACGAAGGGUGCAAGCGUUAAUCGGAAUUACUGGGCGUAAAGCGUGCGUAGGCGGUUUGUUAAGUCUGCUGUGAAAUCCCCGGGCUCAACCUGGGAAUGGCAGUGGAUACUGGCAAGCUAGAGUGCGUCAGAGGAUGGUGGAAUUCCCGGUGUAGCGGUGAAAUGCGUAGAGAUCGGGAGGAACAUCAGUGGCGAAGGCGGCCAUCUGGGACAACACUGACGCUGAGGCACGAAAGCGUGGGGAGCAAACAGGAUUAGAUACCCCAGUAGUCCCUGUCUCUUAUAC